CAGUCGCCGCGGGAAUACGUAGGUGGCAAGCGUUGUCCGGAAUUAUUGGGCGUAAAGGGCUCGCAGGCGGUUUCUUAAGUCUGAUGUGAAAGCCCCCGGCUCAACCGGGGAGGGUCAUUGGAAACUGGGAAACUUGAGUGCAGAAGAGGAGAGUGGAAUUCCACGUGUAGCGGUGAAAUGCGUAGAGAUGUGGAGGAACACCAGUGGCGAAGGCGACUCUCUGGUCUGUAACUGACGCUGAGGAGCGAGAGCGUGGGGAGCGAACAGGAUUAGAUACCCCCGUAGUCCCUGUCUCUUAUAC
rnacentral:rRNA from 1 species